UGAGCAUGUCCCUCUCCUGGAUGGUGAACGAGACAGGAGCGAUGACCCACAACCAACAGAUGGAGGUCUGAGGGGCGGCAGAGUGUGCGGGGGGCUCAGGGCUAUGGAACCCUUGAUGGCUGGAAUGUGGGGGACCCUGGGGGGCUCUGUGUUUAAGCUGCCAAGAACGUUUUCUGUUUUCUGGAUGGAAGUUUGGAUUGUUCUUUGCAGGUACCUCUUCGUUUGGUGGGGGAAAGUCCUCAAAGGGUCUCUUGGUUGUGUGCUAGAGUUCCCCAGGGAGCCCCUCACAGCCACAUAGAGGGAAGUGACCCUUUCCUGGCAUUCUCCUUGGUUCUUGCCUGUGACCAAGCUAAGCCGUGCCAGAUCUGGCCGAGAGCCAGAUCACAUUUACUGCCCUACCCCCCCGCCCUUUGGUUUCCACAGGCCCUGGGUAAGGGUGCCUGUCCCCAUGGGUUGGUCAAGAAUGGUGACAAGAAUCAUGGAAUGGCACAGUACUCUGCCAGCUGGCAUCGCAAUGGCCUGGACUCUGGGGAGAAGUCCUGGCUGACUCCUUUCUUUCUUUCCCAGUGUUUGGGGAGCAUGUCCAGUGGGAGCAGCUUUCUUGGCUCCCAGCUUGGGACUUCAGGCGAGCUGCCUGGGACCCCGCCCAUAAGGUUAUUCUGAUUGGCCGAUACUCAGAUAUUGUUGGAGCCUUAUUAAGCGAAGAAAAAAAAAAAUAUUCAUUUAUGAAUCAGGUCUUAAAAAAAUUAAAAACAGAUUUUUUUUUUAAUGUUUAUUUAUUUUCCAAAGAGAGGGACAGGGCGUGAUCGGGCAGCAGCAGAGAGAGGGAGACACAGAAUCCGAAGCAGGCUCCAGGCUCUGAGCCGUCAGCACAGAGCCCGAGGCCGGGCUUGAACCAUGAACUGCGAGAUCAAACUGAGCCAAAGUCGGAUGCUCAACAGUCUGACGGAGUCACCCGGGUGCCCCCCCAAAAAGAAAUUUUUGAACUUAAUCUGAUAGCAUAGACCAACAGAACUACACUCUGCAUGUUAUUACUCUGACAACAAAGCCGGUCUUGGACAGGGUAUACCUUUUCCCUCUUGCUGAUCUUUGGAGAGGCAGAGGCCCAGGACUCUGGAGAGAGGCACCCACGGCAUGCUGAUAAAAGCCCUUCUGAAUUCCAUGGUGGGCAGGUAAAUCAUGCAGUUCAUCUUUCUUUUUGGGGCACUCACAGAGCAGGAGGGAAGCCAGCAGUGAUUAGUUUGGGACCCAUCUAGCAAUAACUGUGCUGUCCCUCCCAGGCAAGCUGAGGGGUCUAGAGGGCUUAAGCCUGUGGACAACUGUGUGCAGUUAUAUCUGGCAUUCACGUCUAAGAUUUUUCUUUUCUCUUUUGUAAGUUUCAUCUAUUAUCCCCAGUUCCUCAGUUCAUUGUUAUAGCCUGAGCUCAGUGUUGGGGAAACUGAGGCGUGGCCCAUUCUGGGGGCAGGGGCAUGGGAAGACCAGCAUGGCUUAGGGAGGGCACUGUGAUAUGGCAGAAGGUGGUCGGCCAGAUUUCCUGGUAACAGGACAGUUGGCCAACGACAGCAAACUUGGACUCGUGAGCUGUGUGAAUGUUCUCUGGGAUUUCCAGAAGCAGGUAGGUGGGAUGGAGGCUGCAUUAUUGCUCUUUGGCCCUAAUUAAGGGACGUCUGAGUAGCACAGCGCUGAAGGGUUGCGUGUCCUGCAGACAGCUGCCCUCUGCUUCCCUUCGUUCUGUGAUCCCUGGGGUCUGUGUGGUCCCCUGCACCGCUCAUCUCUCUGAGGAUCCCGCUGAGUGGUGGCAUCAUUCCUUGACCCUCCACUGCAUCCCCAGAGUCCCAAGCCUCACUCUUCCUCUGCGAUGACAGGUCACAGUGACAACUGCGUGUGGAGGAAAAGGCGACCACACCCUGCUCUCCCAUCCCUCGGACAAAAUUCCAGCUCGCGUUGCCCACCUCCCGGAUGAUCUGUCAACGGCCUUUCGGGAACCUGAAUGACCAUAGCGUCAGAGAGAAGAGCUUCGUGUUGGGACUGGAGGCGCAUCAGAGAGUCUGGGACUCCUGUACCACUUAUGCCGGAGAGGAUGCGAUUAGUGCCACAAGAAAAUGCCUCAGAUCCAACGAUGUUGACAAACUAAUUCCUUAAAAAAUAGAUGGUUUCCUCUUUGGGACAUAAGACAUCUUAGAUGCAGUGUCGAGUAGUAUUUUGGAUCUUUAUUUUUGUUUGUAAACUCUUCUUCCACAUAUGGUUUUCGGUCUACUUACAAAGAUCUCACGAUGCAGAAGAAAAAGCAGUUGUGAGAGUUAGAGGGGACAUAAAACAAAGGGUCAAAGCAGCGAUGCGGAAACCAGGAGAGGGCCAAUGCCUGCCUACUUACCGACGGACGAGCCCAGAGCAGCAGCUGUCAGUGGGCAUGUGACUCUCAAGGCGGAGGUCUCCUCGGCUCUGUUGGUGAGCUUGUUGGACACCCGCCUACAUUUGCCUACGGAAUUUUUUCAGAAAGGACAGAAAUACUCCCACCUGUACCCUCACUGCUGUGAGUUGCCUCCACUUCUCUUGUGUGCUCCCCUAUCCAUGGUCUCUUUUUCUUCCGUCCUACAUACUCCUGAUUGAGACCCACCGUGCUGUGGCUUCAAGCAAAGGGUCAUCAAUCUACGACUCUUGCUUUACCAUCUUUCCGGAGCUCUAGACUCCAAUUUCGAACCUGUUGCAGACGCUUCCAGUUCUAGGCCCCACAAACACGUCCCGGGCAGAAUUGGGUUGUGUUGCCACAUCUGUGUUUUCUAAGUUGGCGAAUGACAUCUUCUGUCUAGAAUGUUCCCCUCCCCUUCUUUCCCAGUUUGGAGAGUUACUAUUGACCUUUCCAGUCCUUCUCAAAGGUCACCAUCUCUCUGUUGCCCUCACCAAGUCAUCAGGAUGAAAUAGUUGUUCUCCCCUCUGUGUCCUUGUGUCCCCUGACCCCUCUUGUGGUCAUUGUGCCGUGUGCUGCCGUGAUCCUUUGUUUUUCUGUUUAUGUCUUAUUCUAGAACUUGCUUCCACUAAAUACAUAUGCCAGGAUCCAGCGCAGAGUUUAGUACAUAGGAAGCAGUCCCUAACUGCUUGCUGGUGAAUGCAGGAGUGGGUAAGGCGAACUCUUUUCCUGCAGCAGGAAAACAGUCACUGUUACGAAGCGGGAAGAGGCAAGCGCUCAGCUCAAGGGAGCAGAGCAGCACUGUGACUUCUCACGCUGUGGGGACAGGAAGGUCUGUGGAAGAAAGAUACAAAGAACUCCUACAGAGGUGAUAGUACGAAAAGCAAAGCAUGGUCUGGGUUUUGGUUUCUAAUCUCCAGGAAGAGCUACAGAAAACUGAAACUGUGCUCCAAAACUUAGCAGUCAACAUCAUCCACCCCUACUGGGAUAAAAGUUUGCCUGGGGCUGACUUGAUGCGUGGCUGUCUUCACCUCUGAAACAUCCCAGAAGCACUCGAAGCUGGUUGUGUCCUGGGAGAUGGCUCAAAGCAAGAUCUCCUUCAGCCUGGGAAACACUAGGGCUCGAUUAAGUUAAGCAUCGAUAGAUAGGUUACAACUGUAAAGGAAAAACUGAGAACUUUAUAUGAGUGAUUAAAUAUUUAAAAAAAAUUAAAAAAAAUUUUUUUUAAUGUUUAUUUAUUUUUGAGACAGAGAGAGACAGAGCAUGAAUGGGGGAGGGGCAGAGAGAGAGGGAGACACAGAAUCGGAAGCAGGCUCCAGGCUCUGAGCCAUCAGCCCAGAGCCCGACGCGGGGCUCGAACUCACGGACUGCGAGAUUGUGACCUGAGCUGAAGUCGGCCGCUUAACCGACUGAGCCACCCAGGCACCCCCCCAAAAAAUUUUUUUAAUGUUUAUUUAUUUUUGGGAUGGAGACAGAGCAUGAGUGGGGGAGGGGCAGAGGGAGGGAGACACAGAAUCCGAAGGAGGCUCCAGACUCCGAGCUGUCAGAACAGAGCCUGGCACGGGGCUUGAACUCAUGAACCGUGAGACCGUGACCUGAGCAGAAGUCCUUCACUCAACCAACUGAGUCAUCCAGACGCCCCAAUGCGUGAUUAAAUAUUUCUGUUCCUCUAAAGCUUGCCCCCCAUUACGUGAAUACACUAUAGUUAAGUGUUCAUUGCACUAAUGGAGAGAUUGUGGUCAAUAGUGAAACACAUCCCUAAAAAAAAAAAAAAAACCAAAACACUAUUGAAAGCCUGAUUCAUCUUUAAAAUACUAAAGAUGGCUCAGGGUGCCUGGGUGGCUCAGUCAGUUAAGUGUCCCACUUCAGCUCAGGUCAUGAUUUCAUGGUUUGUGAAUUCAAGUCCCACAUCAGGCUCUGUGCUGACAGCUCAGAGCCUGAAGCCUGCUUCAGAUUCUGUGUCUCCCUCUCCCUCACUCUCUGUGUCUCAAAAAUAAAUAAAUGUUAAAAAAUUUAAAAAAAAAUACUAAAGAUGGUUUAAAAUAAAGUGUCUUAAAAUAUUUAUGAUGUAUUUUUAGACUUUUUGAUGGGCAAAGACCCAAAGAUAAGCAAAUAAAACCAUUAAGGCUUUUCCAGGGUGGACAANUUGGGGGCUCAUUAAAUGUAAUAAUAUAUCUAAAGCAUCUUGCACAAAGUGGACACACUAAAUAUUCGUUCCCUUCCCCUGUAGAAGAUAACCUGAUGUCAUCCAAACUUGCUUUGUUAAUGAUGGAGAAUUUGUUUACAUUUGUCCAGAGUUACCAAGCUGGUUUUGCUGCAGAGGGAAGAUUUUGUCUUUUAGCCAGCAGGUGGCAACCAAAUUAAAGCUAACAGUUCACCUCAUGAUGGUAACUGGUAAAAAUAGUGCCUUAUCAUGCUAAUGCCUGAUGGAAAUGACAGGUGGAUGAAAAACCUUUAGCUCCGAAGUGGAAUCACCCCUGGCGAAGGCAUUUUUAACACUAGGACCCAGAUACAGAUUAGUUUCUUUAAGGCUGCUUUCAUUUCAGUACCAGCGUAUCAUGGCCAUACAUCUUUUUAGACGUUUGUCAGAGGAAUCAUUGAGAUUUAUGUAACAUUGUGUUUAAAAUAAUGAAUCUAUUCACUUGAUUUGACAGUUUAAAAAGAGUGAAAAAAGUCAUCGGUUGAUGAAAUAGAGUGGUUACAAAAAUACUAUUUCAUUUUCUCUUCAGUCAGGUUGUAUGUGAUUUUGUUUGGUUUGACCUCUGUGGAUUUGUGAUUUUUAAAAAAAUUUUUUUUUUCAACGUUUAUUUAUUUUUGGGACAGAGAGAGACAGAGCAUGAACGGGGGAGGGGCAGAGAGAGAGGGAGACACAGAAUCGGAAGCAGGCUCCAGGCUCUGAGCCAUCAGCCCAGAGCCCGACGCGGGGCUCGAACUCACGGACCGCGAGAUCGUGACCUGGCUGAAGUCGGACGCUUAACCGACUGCGCCACCCAGGCGCCCCCAGGCUCUCAUUUUAAAUCUGAGACUCUCUUGAAGGUGAGAAGCAUGGGAUUAAGUAGGGACCCCUGUUCUAACAUCAUUUGCUCUAUUGAAUAUAUCCUUAUUAGGUGCACAUAUCCUUAGGGGCACACCCUACCAUUUUAGUGAGAAUUUUCAGGAAUCUUGUUGGGGAGAGCUGGUGCUUGAGGGAAGAAAGAAGCAUGCUGGAAAAAGACAGAAGGAGGACAGGUCAGUGGUGGGGGAAGCCCCAGUCUCCAGGAGACAGGAGACAGGAGACAAAGCAGCCAGCAGAGGGGGGUGUCCAGAGGGUGAGAAAAGGAUGUUGGGCUCUAGGUGGGGACAGCCUCAAGGGACAAGGCCAGAACCUGCCUGUUUGCUGGGGCCUGGGUACAACCCCCAACACCCCCAACCACUCUUUCAGCCGCUUCCAUACACUACUGGCUGGGAGCAGCUUUCCUUUUUCUUGAUUAGAUUCAGGAUUACACUCCGAGUACAGGCUGGGUCUCCCGAGGAGGGGGAGCGUGUGAAGACGAGCUGGCAAGACAGCCCUGAAGGCAGCUGCGUCUCAGAGAGUCGGUUGAGGCCAGGCAUCCAUUUCAUUUGUGGUUUCUGGGGGCUGAUUUCUCUUUAGGUUCAGGUUCUUCUUCUUCUGGUUGGUAACUUCAAGUUUAUAGCUCGACAUUAACAAAACUAACAAGCCCUCAGAACAGGGAGUGUAUGCAGAGGGACCUCAGGCAGACUGUGCAAAGGAGGGGAAGGAGAAAGGCAUGCACAUUUGCUGAGCCCCUCUGGCCGACCCGGCCAUUCGUCUGGGACCCACUGCACAGGGAAGGAACCAAGUGUGCUCCACGCGCUGACACAUCACAUGCUGGAAGAAUCUUGCCCGGUAGAACCUUUUACAUCCCCAUGGCAUAGGUAAAGAAACAAGGUCUAGGAGAAGUUGAACAAUGUGCCCCUGGUCACACAGCUAAGGGAUCGAGCUGGCUUUCAAUUCAGGUCUGACUUUCAUGUCUGCGUAUUACCUGAUGCCUUGGGACCAGAAAAGGUAAUCCCCUUUUAUCCCCUGGGGCUUGGAGAAUAAUCUCAAAUCUCUGGUUCAUUGUGAAAUUUCUUGAUGAAAUUUAAGAGAGUGGAAAUUGAGCAUUAGCUCUGAAAUGUACAUUGGGAGAGUCAGUCCAUGGAAACAAAUGGAAGAAUAUAUUAUAAACCUAGGCCGUUGUGUAAUGGAUGAUCAGUCCAGUUUCAUCAGCUCAGCCUGGGCUUGACUUUGUGGUUGGGGAACACAUGUGCUGAGGGCGGUCUACCAGUUAGGGGACCUGUAGGACUUUCUAGAUACCUCAGCAUCAUUAUAGACCAGUGGGUAUUGGCUUUGCCAUAUGCUAAAUAUUUAGUUCUAUUGCUUUCAUUGCCAGGACGGGGCUUUCCAUUUUGUGUUUGGGCUCUUGUAGUAAUAUCUGGAAUGAUCUAUAGAAUGCAUUAAUUAACAAAUAUUUAUUGAGUGCCUACCAUGUGCCAAGUACUGGGCUACAUUCGGAGGUGGGCAUUGCAUGCUCUAGAACAAUGCUGUCCAAUAGAAUUUUCUAUGAUGAUAGAAAUGGUCUUAUCUGCAUUGUCUUAUAUGGAAGUUACUAGCCUCUUAUGAUUAAUGUGAUUGAGGAACUGAAUUUUUAAUAAAUUUUAACUAAGUUCAAAUAGGCCAUGUGUCCAGGGGUUACCAUAUUGGACUGUACAAAUCUAGAUUAGUCUUGUGUUGUAUUUUGCAAAAUUACACAAAUGAAAAACAUCACAUCUACUGGAAACAUGUUUGUUAACAUUUUAGUAAAAUUUUAUGUUAUGUUCUAAUACAUGAUUAUGAUUAAUGCCAUGAGUAGAUUUUCUUUAUUUUCUUUCUUUCUUUCUUUAUUUCUUUUUAAUUUAAAUCCAAGUUAGUUAAUAUAUAGUAUAAUAAUGAUUUCAGGAAUAGAGUUUAAUGAUUCAUCACUUACAUAUAACACCCAGCGCUCAUCCCAAGUGCCCUCCUUAAUUCCCAUCAUGAGUAGAUUUUCUAUGUAUUGAUUUAUUCAAAGACAUUUAGGUGGUGUCUUCUAUGUAUUAGGCACUAUGCUAGAUCCUGUGGGAGGGAAAAAUGAUGUGUAAGACCUCAUUCGUAUUAUGAAGAAGCUCACAGAUUUGUAGAUACAUGCCUAUACCCACACACGUGCUGUUACACAUCCACACAUACAAAUACCAGGUAACCAACGGCCGAGGGCCCUUAGGCAAGUAUGUCUCUCAAUCCUCUCAAUCACAGAUAGCUGACAGUUCCAUUCAUCAGAUCCAAACAGCAGGAUCCAGAGGAAAAUGGCAUUUCCUUUUAAGAAUAAGGAAACCGGAAGUCUCCCCAGCCUAUUUCCUGUCAUAUUUUCUUGGCCAUAAUUUCAGCACAUGUCCAUAUGUAAAUCCAUCCUUGGAAGAGGAAGGGAAUUACCAUGACUGGAUUACACUAUUCAGGGUUUAUUCCUGUGGGUUCCUUAAGGACAGAUACCUGAACAAAAAUCAGGGAUCUGUUGGCAAGGACCUGGGGUGGUGGAAUGGAUGUUGAAUAGGCAAUCACUGUCCUUCUGAAAAUUUCCCAUCCUCUGAAUCAGAAUGGGCUCCUCCAGUCACCAUGCUGAAUUCAUUCCUUUGUCACAGCACUCAAAGUGUAGAGUGUGAUGUGUUUGCUCAAUGGCUUGAUUUCCUGUUGACUGGGUACCAACAACACCCCUUUCUCUGCUAAUUGUGAGCUACUGAGGGGGUCGGACCUGCUUUAUUCAUAUUUGAAAGCUCCACACCCAGCCCAGUUCCUGCCAUACCCAGAGCUCAGUAAAGAUUUGUGGGACCGGAUAUACAUUUAUUGAAGCACUACUCAAUUCACAUCUUCUUUCCCGAUUUAUUCUUUCAGAGACUACACCUGUUGUUCUGGACUGCAGCUGGAAUUGGAAAGGAAAUUUAUUUCCAUGAAUGGAGAAGUGUCAGAGUGAGCAGGCACGUGGCAGUGGAAGCAUGGGAAUAGUCUCACGAGAAUAACAUCAAAGCACAAUGAUUGUCAGAGACUUUAGAAGAUAAACCAACCAAACAAACAUAUAGAAGUUACAUGUGCUGUUAGUGCAGAAGCUUCCAGAUGGAUGCAAGAAUCAAAGCCUUCAAGAAGCUCAUGUAAUUGGCACUUGGAAUAUGUCUAUAUUAAUUUGCAUGGACCAUAAAAGCAAUCUUAUCUAGAAUCUUCCAUUUACAGC
rnacentral:lncRNA from 1 species